rnacentral:sRNA from 1 species
UGAAGCUGAAAAAGCAGAGAGCGGCUCGAUAUCCGAGCCGCUCUCUGCUUUUUAUAAUGGCA